GCGGGCUCGUCAGCGCAGGUUCCCCAGAGCCCGCCGAGGCAGCCGGCCCUGUCGGCGACCCAGCAGCUCCGAGCCGACGGGCCCAGACCACCCCUACGGGCAGCGGGGCGCCACCGGCCCCGCCUCAGCGCCCAACCGCCACCGCCCCCAGCCGCUCCCCGGGGCGGGGACAGCCGGCACGGCCGCAGAGCAGGCCCCGCCCCGCGGCCUCCUCCAGUGUCCCGACAGCCCUUGCGCGCCGCGCGCCUUCUGCUUCUCUGCUCCCUUCCCCCCAGCCCUUUGGGACGCGCGGGAAAUGGCGGAGCUGGAGCUGGGGCAGCACUGCGGGGUGGCGGAUUGCCGCCAGCUCGAUUUUCUCCCCUUUGUAUGUGAUGGCUGUUCAGGUGUCUUUUGCCUUCAGCACAGGAGCCGGGAUGCUCAUGGGUGUUCUGAGGUGAAUAUAAGAAACAAUUCUGUGAAACCAGAUCAGCACAGGUCUUACCCAUGCUCAUACAAGGACUGCAACGGAAAGGAGCUUUUGCCAGUUUUAUGUCCCUACUGUGAAAAACAUUUUUGUCUAAGACACCGGCAUCAGUCAGAUCAUGAAUGUGAGAAACUGGACACACCAAAACCUCGAAUGGCUGCCACCCAACAACUAGUUAAACAUAUUGUAGAUUCUAAAAAGAAUGAGGAAGCAAAAAGCAAAAAACGUAAAGGAGCGAAAAACAGUGAGACAGCCGCAAAAGUGGCAUUAAUGAAACUGAAAAUGCACGCGUGUGGGGACAAGUCCUUGCCUCAGACAGAAAGAAUUUACUUCCAAGUAUUUUUACCAAAGGGGAACAAAGAGAAAAGCAAGCCCAUGUUCUUUUGCAGUAAGUGGAGUAUUGGCAAAGUAGUAGAUUUUGCAGCUUCAUUAGCAAGCCUUAAAAAUGACAACAACAAAUCAACAUCCCAGAAAUUGAGAUUAUGCCAUACUGCCUCUGGAGAAGCCUUGCCAUUUGAGCACACAUUGGAAACGUGGCUAUCUGAUAAAGACUAUCCAUUGUACAAUGGUGGAAAUAUAAUUUUGGAGUAUCUUGAUAAUGAUGUUCUAUUUAUAGAAGAUACAGAGUCAUACUUUAGUUAAUCAGUAAAUUAUGACAAACAAAAAAAAUCAAAGAUUUUUUUUAGAAUCAUGGUAUAUUCAAACCAAGUCCAGUUUUCUUUUAAAAUCACUGGUAUGCCAGAAUCUGUGCUCAGCUGUAAAGACACAGUUCCCAUCAAUUUCUCAAUUGGUUGACUGACAGAAGAACUAUGUCCUGAAAGGAAAAUUAGUUACCAUAACAACUAAUAUUACAGAUAUUCACUUUCUAGAAUAAAUUCUUGCCUUAUUUAGCAGUAUAAUGUCAAUAAUGUUUUCUUAAAUUUUAUAUUUAUUUUUGUGUAAAUGAUGGGAAAAGCAUGUAUUAAAAACAAUAAAUAAUGAAAAUGUAAGCUUGCAGUGUUAUCAGUCCUUUGAAGGGAAGAAAUACAUUACACUAUUGCAGAAUCUUUUCUACAUCUACAGGAACAGAUUUCAUUGAGUUUGGAAUCAAGCAGUGUCCAUGCCCAAGGUUCACAUUUGCUUGUCUCCUCGUAAUAGCGUAACAACAUUUUAGAAGGAAAGCUUUCUGAAGCAAAAGUAAAUUCACACAGAUUUCUUUAUAGUGUUUGUAAAUCUCAGCAUCAUUGUGUGAUUAGAUGGGGGAUAAAGAGAGAACUUGAAAUUGUCCUUUUCUAAUUCUGUGAAAAAGAGGAAGAAAUAUGGUAAGAGAGGAAGAAAUGCAGUUCAACUAGAAACAUAGAAUUUGACAGCGUGCAGUUUCAUCUUGGCAUUUCCGACCUUAGGUAAAUCUCUAUUGUUUCCUCUUCAGCAGUCUCCAAGAUGGACUUACUAUGUUUCAAAGCAGUUGUUUACAGUGAUUGUACAUAAAGAAGUUACACCUCUGGGCGUCUAUUCAGCGAGUGUUCUCCAAUGGGGAGGAGCUGGAAAGGCAAUCCUACGAUGACAGAAAGGACAGAGUAUGAACAGCUGUAAACAGAGCAGUGGAAAGCACAAGCCUGGGCUCCAUUUGCAAAGCUGUAGUGUGUUUCUGCAGCUCCGUGGUGCCCUGCAGCAUGAGUGAACUGAGGCAAAAUUAUUCAUCAGAUCUUCAAUGACUGUGAAGACUUUAAAAAACAGGCUUAUUUGACUAUUCCUGUUUAUGAAAUGGGAAGGAGGAAACAUGAAAAGGCAAGCAACUUGUCCCACACAACAGCACCGCUGGAAUGGAAACUGUGUCUUCUCUGAUGUGGAAAGGACAAAACUGCCC